rnacentral:rRNA from 1 species
ACUCCUACGGGAGGCAGCAGUGGGAAUAUUGCACAAUGCCCGAAAGGGUGACGCAGCGACGCCGCGUGAGCGAUGAAGCACUAUGGUGUGUAAAGCUCUGUUAGCAGGGAAGAACGGCCGCAUUUCGGUAAGGGAUGCGGAUUGACGGUACCUGCAAAGAAAGCUCCGGCUAACUCCGUGCCAGCAGCCGCGGUAAUACGGGGAGGG